CAAAUAGUAGCUUAAGGAAAGUAUUUUAUUUACAUUAAAAAGUUUAUUUUAUAAUAAUAUUUGA
rnacentral:tRNA from 1 species